rnacentral:rRNA from 1 species
UACGUAGGGGGCAAGCGUUGUCCGGAAUCAUUGGGCGUAAAGAGCGCGUAGGCGGCCCUGUAAGUCCGCUGUGAAAGUCAAGGGCUCAACCCUUGGAUGCCGGUGGAUACUGCAGGGCUAGAGUCCGGAAGAGGCGAGUGGAAUUCCUGGUGUAGCGGUGAAAUGCGCAGAUAUCAGGAGGAACACCUGUGGCGAAAGCGGCUCACUGGACCAUAACUGACGCUGAUGCACGAAAGCUAGGGGAGCAAACAGG